UCACAGUAUGUUUACCGUUUCCUGACUUCACUGUAGUAUUCUCGGUUUCAAUAUGUUUCUAUGAUUUCCUUUACUCAAAUGACUUUGGUUCCUUCAUCACAGUUGUUUAAAAUUCAGUCUAUUAUAACAUAGAAAAAAUUUAGGUUGAUCAGACUUCUAUAGCCACUUUGGGAAUGUUUAGAGUGGAACUUGUUUAUAGUCUUCGACCCUAGUUCCUUCCGUCGGUUUCAGUCCAAAACACUCAUUUCGAAAGCUCAAAACACUAUGGUUCCUUCAUGACAGUUACUCCAAUUCUCCUAUUUAUAACAUAUCAAAAGUUUAGCAAAAUGCAACCAUUAUAACUCUCUAAAAAUUGGUAUGAACAAAACUUGUUCAUUGAUUAUAUUGAAUUUCUUGUUAUAGAUGUGCACUUUCUCUCAAAUGGCUUGUUACUUGUCAUUCCAUUGAUCAAAUUAGCCAUUAUCAUCUCAAGUGAAUGAUUCUUUGAAGGAAAUGGUAAACAUACUGUGAUCGUACCAACUUUUCAGAGUCUGGGCAGGGCAGAUUGAGCUGAAUUUGGAGCAUGUUAUAGGAAUCACGUAAAUGAACAACUUUUAUGAAGGAAGUUUUUUCAUUUGAGCUUCCGAAAUUUGAGUUCUUGGCUACUACAAGGAAGUGAUGAAUUUUGGAUUUUUGAAGAGGAACAAAAGAAGAAUGAGGAUGAAAAUAAGGUGAAUGAGGAAGAGAGUGAUGAUACAAUGAAUGGGAAGAGAGAGAAUAAAUUCAUGAUUUAAGAAUCUUAGGCUAGGUGAGUCAUCAAUUUAAUAUAGGUGACUCAUCCCUUGUGAAUUAAAGAAUAAAGGGAAGUGGAAAAGAAUGGGAGGAGAGUGGGCUGUUCCUUUUUCUUUUUCUUUUUGCCUACAAGGGUAUUUUAUUUUAUUUUUGUAAUUUUCACACAUAAGGAUAUUUUGGUCAUUUUGGCCCAAAAUUCAGAAACAAUUUCCUACGUGUGGAUGUAAUGCCCUGAAAGAUUAAAAGUGGAUUUUUGUAUUUCAGUGAAAUAUUAUAGUGAAGAAUGAUUAUGGGUAUUUUAUCAAGUGAUUUUGGAAUGAGACUAUUGGAUU